rnacentral:rRNA from 1 species
UCUCGGAAGAUUGCAGAGAUGCAUUGUGCCUUCGGGAACCGUAAGACAGGUGCUGCAUGGCUGUCGUCAGCUCGUGUUGUGAAAUGUUGGGUUAAGUCCCGCAACGAGCGCAACCCUUAUCCUUAGUUGCCAGCACGUAAUGGUGGGAACUCUAGGGAGACUGCCGGUGAUAAACCGGAGGAAGGUGGGGACGACGUCAAGUCAUCAUGGCCCUUACGAGUAGGGCUACACACGUGCUACAAUGGUAUGUACAGAGGGAGGCAAGCUGGCGACAGUGAGCGGAUCUCAUAAAGCAUAUCGUAGUCCGGAUUGGAGUCUGCAACUCGACUCCAUGAAGUCGGAAUCGCUAGUAAUCGUGAAUCAGAAUGUCACGGUGAAUACGUUCCCGGGUCUUUGUACACACCGA